AUACGGAGGGUGCGAGCGUUAAUCGGAAUUACUGGGCGUAAAGCGUGCGUAGGUGGUUAUUUAAUCAAGAUGUGAAAGCCCAGGGCUCAACCUUGGAACUGCAUUUUGAACUGGAUGGCUAGAGUAUUGUAGAGGGUGGUGGAAUUUCCAGUGUAGCGGUGAAAUGCGUAGAGAUUGGAAGGAACAUCAGUGGCGAAGGCGGCCACCUGGACAACUACUGACACUGAGGCACGAAAGCGUGGGGCGCGAACAGGAUUAGAAACCCUAGUAGUCC
rnacentral:rRNA from 1 species